rnacentral:rRNA from 1 species
CAGUAGCCGCGGUAAUACGUAGGGUGCGAGCGUUAAUCGGAAUUACUGGGCGUAAAGCGUGCGCAGGCGGUUAUAUAAGACAGAUGUGAAAUCCCCGGGCUCAACCUGGGACCUGCAUUUGUGACUGUAUAGCUAGAGUACGGUAGAGGGGGAUGGAAUUCCGCGUGUAGCAGUGAAAUGCGUAGAUAUGCGGAAGAACACCGAUGGCGAAGGCAAUCCCCUGGACCUGUACUGACGCUCAUGCACGAAAGCGUGGGGAGCAAACAGGAUUAGAUACCCCCGUAGUCCCUGUCUCUUAUAC